CGAGGUGUCGGCGAGUACGUCGUCGCCGAAGAACCCGCCGUCACCCACCACAUCCAGCACGAUGUCGUCGCCGUACUUGCCCCGACCGAUCCGGUUCACCUUGCCGUGCGCCAGGACGUACACCCCGUCCAUGGGCCGCCCGGCCUCGACGAUCAGGUCGCCGGGCGCGAACUCGCGCUGUUCGAAGCGGCCGGCCAACGCCUCCAACACCGCGUCGUCACCGAACCCGCGCAGCGCGGGCAACUCCCGCAGCUCCGCCGGCACCACACUCACCUCGGCACCGGUGUUCACACAGGUCACGUGCCCAUCACCGACCGUGUAGGUCAGCCGACGGUUCACCCGGUACACACCACCCCGCGCCUGCACCCACGGGAGCAUCCGCAGCAGCCAGCGCGAGGUCACACCCUGCAUCUGCGGGGCGGACUUCGUGGUCGUCGCCAGGUUUCGUGCCGCCGACGUCCCCAGACUCGACUGCC
rnacentral:antisense_RNA from 1 species